UACGUAGGGGCAAGCGUUGUCCGGAAUCAUUGGGCGUAAAGCGCGUGUAGGCGGUUCGGUAAGUCGGCUGUGAAAGUCCAGGGCUCAACCCUGGGAUGCCGGUCGAUACUGCCGGACUAGAGUUCGGAAGAGGCGAGUGGAAUUCCCGGUGUAGCGGUGAAAUGCGCAGAUAUCAGGAGGAACACCGGUGGCGAAGGCGGGUCUCUGGGCAGUAACUGACGCUGGAGGAGCGGAAAGCGUGGGGAGCGAACAGG
rnacentral:rRNA from 1 species